rnacentral:lncRNA from 10 species
GAAAAAUAACCAAUUCCUUCCUAGAAGCCAAGCUUGAGGGACCUUUAGAAUUCUGUAACAGAAAAGCUCCCCACCCCCUACUGUGACCCAAGCAGUUACUUAAACACUAAUACCUCCCAUUGGCCGGCGUGGCAGAGCAGCAGCUCUGGCGCUAGAGGGAACCUGGGCUGCUCUAGCUGGGGGAGAGCCGGGUCUCUGGUUCUAAUCACUUGAAUCUGACUUCUGGGAAAACUGGCGUCCAGGGACUCCCCCCGGAGACCCAUAAUCUUCUUGGGGCGACCUCAGGUAACCGGUGCGCGUGCGCACGUCAAUCCGAGGGUGUGUGCGCCCAGUUUCCGGCGCCGCGGGACACCCACAACCGCGGGGCUGUCCCUCAGCUCGGC